AAGGAGGGAAAGACGCAUGUAUUUGAGCAAGGGGUGAGAUGCGAACCGUGUCGAGGAGAUUGGUGGGUGUGUGUGCCUGUGUGAUCGCUGUGGCGACUGUACAUUGUAGCAGAGACCUCACUGCCGCGUGUGGCAGCGAUAUUGAUAAGGAACACUGGAUUGCCACUCUACAAAGGGCUGUCCAACAGAGGGCAGUGUGAGAUUUGACCAAUCCCACACUCCUCCGGUCCCCUCAGGUCCUCGCUGUGUGUCUGCAGUCAGAAUCACCCCUCUGACAAGCAUGAAAGGCACUCCUGAUCUGAUUCCAUCUGCAGAGCUGGACCCUACAAGGGUGUGUAAAGGGAAGGGGGUCGUGACUCUGAGGGCCACUCUGGUCCACAUAGACGACGAGGACUGCGUCAGUGAAGAAUCAAAUGUUGACACAGCGCCAAGUGGUUGGAUCGGCCAGAUCAAUGGAGACAGCGCUCAAACGGGAUUUGCUGAUGGAGGCUUCCACGACAUCACAGCUGAUUUACCUACAGUCAACAGAACUCAAGCCCAGGGAAGUUCACCUGUGAACACAGAAGAGCCCCAGCUUCCUGCCUCUUUUGACAUUCAGAACUAUAUUUCGUCGACAAAGGCCACCUCUGCCUACCCAUCCGCCGCUGGCACUGUCAACCCAACCGUAGUUCUGCUACAACACAACAGAGACCCCACCCCAGAGAGGGACAAAUCGCCUGAUCCAGGACCUGUAGUUGGAACAGAGCGAGAACUGAGCCAACACCCAAAUAUGGACGGCAAGAGGAUGAGGUACUCUCAAUCCCAUAUCUUGGGUCCACUGAACCAGCCCAUCGUGCCAGUACGGAACACAGAUAAGUCAAAGGACUGGUACAAGAACAUGUUUAAACAGAUACACAAAAUUCCAGAACCUGUUGAGGAAAACCCAUAUCGCCCCACCUACAUAUUCCCUGAAUCCUAUGAUCCUAGGCAGAUGAAAACAACAGAUGAUGGUCACUCCUCCUAUGGUUAUGUGGAAGAAGUGAAAGCGGUCCCACGAUCAAAAAGUGCCGCUGAAGUUGACCAUAGGUCGUCUAUGCCUGUGCCAACACGGUCCUCUUCCCUCAAACCUGCCAAAAGGAACGACUGGGAGCCCCCUGACAAAAAGGUAGACACCAGGAAGUACCGUGCCGAGCCCAAGAGCAUCUUCGAGUACGAGCCGGGGAAAUCAUCGGUGACGAAACUGGAGAGAAAGACUCAGCACACUAGUCCAGAAGAUGUAGAUUUAGAGAAUGAGCCUUGGUAUAGAUUCUUUUCAGAGAUGGACUUUGAUAAAGCGAGUGCCCCCACUUUCAGCCCUCUGGAUACACCCUCCGACCUACAGAAGUACUCCGGGUGUAAGGCCGGACACAGCGAGGUGGAGAAGGACGAAGGCUCGUCUGGCAGCGAGCCAGCGGCUCCAGAAUGCGACCGCUAUGUUUACAAGAGCAUCCUGGAGGGCGGUGAUAUUCCCCUGCAAGGUCUGCGGGCCCUCAACAAGCGCCAUGCCAGCACCUCCUCUAAAGAUUCAGACUCGUCCCAGGCUUUGACCCAAGGAGACCUUGGUGACGGCCAGGACGAGGUGGUUAGGAGACGCCAUGGAGACAAAGAGAAAAUCCUGGAAGAGCAGCGGCGGCUGAAGAGGGAGCAGGAGGAGGCUGACACAGCAUCGAGGCGACACACAGGAAUCGUUCCCACCCACCACCAGUUCAUCACUAAUGAACGCUUCGGAGACCUGCUCAACAUCAACAUCAACGACACAGACAAGAGGAAAUCCGGAUCAGAGAGAACUCCAGCCCUGGCUCGGUUUGACUUCAGAGCAGAGACUCUAAAGGAGUUACCAUUUCAAAAGGGAGACAUUGUGUACAUCAUUCGACAGGUGGAUAAUAAUUGGUUCGAAGGGGAGCAUCACGGCAGAGUCGGCAUCUUCCCACGGAGUUAUGUUGAGCUCCUUCCCCCCACGGAGAAGGCCCAGCCAAAGAAGAGUGCCCCAGUGCAGGUGCUGGAGUAUGGAGAGGCCAUAGCCCGUUUCAACUUCACAGGGGACACGGUGGUGGAGAUGUCAUUUAGAAAGGGAGAGAGGAUCAUCCUAAUUCGCAGGGUCGAUGAGAACUGGUACGAGGGCAAGGUCUCCGGUUCCAAUCGCCAGGGUAUCUUCCCCGUCACCUACAUAGAGGUGCACAAACGACCCAGAGUCAGGAAUGGAUUGGAUUAUCCAGACCCACCCAUUGGCCAAUCACCUCACCGCAGCCUCAAUGCUUCCCCUCAGCUGGUGAAGAAUGAGAGUGACUACCAUGGUAGAACCUCCAGGAGCCCUGUCAUGUUGUUUGACAUCCACGACAACAACAUGAAUGCUAACUCAUUUGCGCAACCCCAGUCCCACAGCCCGGAGCCGAGUCGUCUCAGCUGUGGAAUUGUUACCCUACAGUUUCCAGGCUUUGUACUGUUACAUGCCACAGAAUGAGGAUGAGCUGGAGCUGCAGGAGGGAGAUCUUGUCAGCGUAAUGGAGAAGUGUGACGAUGGCUGGUUUGUUGGUACCUCAAAGAGGACCAAACAGUUUGGCACGUUUCCAGGAAACUACGUGAAAGAGGUCAACUUGUAACCUGUCAACAGACAUUUAUAGUGUGAGGAGAACCCAGCUCUAACCAGUGGUUACCAUUCAAGUAUUUGGGAAGGCAUUACUAUUGCGCUUGAUUGUUUCAAUUAGGAUAGUCAUUCAGCCAGGUGAAUAUGUUUGUCUGGUGUAAGUGAUCAGUUUGGUGUGAGGUAUGUUAAUGUACAUGAGGCGAAGACAGGAGGAAGCUUUGCUGUUGACUCACUGCCCAAACGUCAGUGUGGUGUAUACGUACUCCAACCAUAUCCUACACAGUACAUGGGCUGAAUUUAUAAUAUCCAAUUCUGACAAUAGAACAUUUAGUUUUAAAAAAUCCUCCCAAAAUGUCAGCACAUACAGACUACGUUAUAAAAUGAGUUUACAAAACAUUAUGAACACCAGAUUUUUCCAUGGCAUAGACUGACCAGGUGAAUCCAGGUGAAAGCUAUGAUCCCUUAUUGAUGUCACUUGUUAAAU